AUCCCGGGCGGCGGCGCCGCCGCGUCGGGCCCACUUCCGCACGCACGGCCCGGGGGCGGGGAGAGCGGGGCUGCGAACCUACCCGCGGAGAGGUGCUGCCCCGUCGUCUCUGCCGGCGGCGGGAGACCGUCCCCUCAGCUAAUAAAUCUUUGGUUAGUUUACUAGAGAAAUUGGCUACAGCAUUGUCUUUGGUGAGAUCAAGAGUAUCCAUUGACCUGGGAUUAUUCUGAAAAGCAACUGUAAGUUCCUCUCUUCAGUACUAAGUGGUAGUGUCUCUUAUGAUCAAGUAUUCAUGGAUAGCUUGUUCCAGCAAAUGAUCCCAAUCCAAAGCAAGAAAAGAUCUUUCUAAAAAGGAAAACACAUGUUCCCCUCAAAAAUACAUUUAUUAUCUGAAAGUAUGUUUAAUUUGUAGCGAUUACUAAUCAAAAUAAACUAAAAUAACAGUUGGUACAAGUUUAAGAAAAUCCAAAA